GAGUUUGAUCAUGGCUCAGAUUGAACGCUGGCGGCAUGCCUUACACAUGCAAGUCGAACGGCAGCAUGAUCUAGCUUGCUAGAUUGAUGGCGAGUGGCGAACGGGUGAGUAAUACAUCGGAACGUGCCCUGUAGUGGGGAUAACUAGUCGAAAGAUUAGCUAAUACCGCAUACGACCUGAGGGUGAAAGUGGGGGACCGCAAGGCCUCAUGCUAUAGGAGCGGCCGAUGUCUGAUUAGCUAGUUGGUGGGGUAAAGGCCCACCAAGGCGACGAUCAGUAGCUGGUCUGAGAGGACGAUCAGCCACACUGGGACUGAGACACGGGCCCAGACUCCUACGGGAGGCAGCAGUGGGGAAUUUUGGACAAUGGGCGAAAGCCUGAUCCAGCAAUGCCGCGUGUGUGAAGAAGGCCUCGG
rnacentral:rRNA from 1 species